rnacentral:rRNA from 1 species
CAGCAGCCGCGGUAAUACGGAGGGUGCAAGCGUUAAUCGGAAUUACUGGGCGUAAAGCGCACGCAGGCGGUCUGACAAGUCAGAUGUGAAAUCCCCGGGCUUAACCUGGGAACUGCAUUUGAAACUGUCAGGCUGGAGUCUUGUAGAGGGGGGUGGAAUUCCAGGUGUAGCGGUGAAAUGCGUAGAGAUCUGGAGGAAUACCGGUGGCGAAGGCGCCCCCCUGGACAAAGACUGACGCUCAGGUGCGAAAGCGUGGGGAGCAAACAGGAUUAGAUACCCCGGUAGUCCCUGUCUCUUAUAC